GACGGAGGGUGCUAGCGUUGUUCGGAAUCACUGGGCGUAAAGGGCGCGCAGGCGGCCAAGUCAGUCGGGCGUGAAAGCCCGGGGCUCAACCCCGGAACGGCGCCCGAGACGGCUUGGCUCGAGACCGGGAGAGGAGGGUGGAAUAGCCAGUGUAGAGGUGAAAUUCGUAGAUAUUGGCUGGAACACCGGUGGCGAAAGCGGCUCUCUGGCCCGGUUCUGACGCUGAGGCGCGAAAGCUAGGGGAGCAAACGGG
rnacentral:rRNA from 1 species